rnacentral:rRNA from 1 species
GGUGGUGGCCUAAAUACCCUAAAGACACCAGAUCCCAUCUGAUCUUGGAAGCUAAGCAGAGUCAGCCCUGGUUAGUACCUGGGUGGGAGACCACCAAUGAAAACCAGGUACUGUUGGCU